GCCAUGCACGUCUAAGUACUCGCCUUGUCUUUAAAGUGAAACCGCGAAUGGUNNANUNNNUCAGUUAUGGUUCACUAGACAGUACCUCAUCCUACUUGGAUAACUGUGGUAAUUCUAGAGCUAAUACAUGCAACUAGGCCCCGCCCGGCAUGCCGUCUUGUGCGGUACGACGGAAAGGGCGCCAUUAUCAGCCCAAAACCGACCGGGUCGCCUCCCCCUCUCCUUUACGGUAAGGGGCGGCUCCCGUCCUUAUUCCCUUUGACGACUCUGGAUAACCUGUCAGCGGAUCGCUGGGUAAACGGGCGCCCGGGGGCUUUUGCGGUCUCCGGGCCGCCCACAGCGACCAGUCUUUCAAAUGUCUGCCUUAUCAACUGUCGACGGUAGGUUAGACGCCUACCGUGGUCGUAACGGGUGACGGGGAAUCAGGGUUCGAUUCCGGAGAGGGAGCCUGAGAAACGGCUACCACAUCCAAGGAAGGCAGCAGGCACGCAAAUUACCCAAUCCCAGCACUGGGAGGUAGUGACGAAAAAUAACGAUACGGGACUCUUAAUGAGGCCUCGUAAUCGGAAUGAGUCCGCUCUAAAUCCUUUAACGAAAAUCUAUCGGAGGGCAAGUCUGGUGCCAGCAGCCGCGGUAAUUCCAGCUCCGAUAGCGUAUAUUAAAGUUGCUGCGGUUAAAAAGCUCGUAGUUGGAUUUGGGUUUUCGGGCCGUCGGGCCGCCGCCUUUGAGCGGCGCGUUUCCUGCCGUGCCCCCGGAACCGCACGGUCGCAGAGGCCCUCGUGGUGCUCUUGAAUGAGUGUCCGCGGUCUUGGGUCGCCGAACGUUUACUUUGAAAAAAUUAGAGUGCUCCAGGCAGGCCGGUAAAGCGUUUUUAAACCCGCGCCUGAAUAGUCACGCAUGGAAUAAUGAAAGAGGACCGGCGGUCCUAUUUUGUUGGUUUUAAGGAUUUUCCGCCGUCAUGAUUAAGAGGGACGGCCGGGGGCAUUCGUACCGCGGCGCGAGAGGUGAAAUUCUAGGACCGUCGUGAGACGAACCGUUGCGAAAGCAUUUGCCAAGAAUGUUUUCCUUAAUCAAGAACGAAAGUCAGAGGUUCGAAGGCGAUCAGAUACCGCCCUAGUUCUGACCGUAAACGAUGCCACCUGACGAUCCGCCAGGGUUACUACCAUGACUCGGCGGGCAGUCCCCGGGAAACCCAAGCCUUCGGGUUCCGGGGGAAGUAUGGUUGCAAAGCUGAAACUUAAAGGAAUUGAUGGAAGGGCACCACCAGGAGUGGAGCCUGCGGCUUAAUUUGACUCAACACGGUGAACCUCACCCGGCCCGGACACCGCGAGGAUUGACAGAUUGAGAGCUC
rnacentral:rRNA from 1 species